GGUGUAGGCGGUCAAGCAAGUCAGAGGUGAAAGGCAUCGGCUCAACCGAUGUAAGCCUUUGAAACUGUUUGACUUGAGUGCAGGAGAGGUAAGUGGAAUUCCUAGUGUAGCGGUGAAAUGCGUAGAUAUUAGGAGGAACACCAGUGGCGAAGGCGACUUACUGGACUGUAACUGACGCUGAGGCUCGAAAGCGUGGGGAGCGAACA
rnacentral:rRNA from 1 species